UGCCGUAGCUCAGUUGAUAGAGUACUGGACUGUAAAUCCAUUUGUCCAUGGUUUGAAUCCUAACUACGGUAG